ACUUACGACCAUUUCUUCAGUGGCCGUCCGAGGUUACGAUAGUGCUGAAAAUGGUGACUUACAGCCAGUUCUGGCACGUACUGCAGAAUCCCCCCACCAUCACGUGAACAAAAUUUGGGCGUAUGGCCUCCGAUUUCGUUCCCGGUUUGAGCGCACCCACCCAAUUCCAAAAGAGAACCCAAGCUUUUGGCCAUUGAAAAGAUAAAUAGAAAUCCUUGUUGUACAGAUUGCUGGGCUGCGAUUUCCAGAAAGCUACACAACACCGAUAUUUUUUUUCUUGGUUGGUUUCCGGUUUUAAAAGUGCCCUUGUUUAUUCUGGGUUCUUUUUGCCUUCCUCUCUGGAAAACUAAAAAUAAAAACUGGUACAGAAGGCA